UCUUUAUUUGAGCCUACGCGUAGCUCAAGGAAGAAACAAUAAUCAAAAAGUGAAAACCCCACAAUCAUUUUCACUCAGAAUUCCUUUGUAACCUUCCUGUUCUUCAGCCAUAGCCAUCAUUUAGCUGAGAGAGAGAAGCACGUGCCAUUGAAGUGGAGGGUCCCCAGCUGAAGGAUGGGGGAAAAGGAAAUUGAAGCCAAGAAUGUGAUGAAGAGGUCGAAGAAAUCACAACUUUAGUAAUGUUAUUUGAAGAGGAGAGAUGUAUGAGGAAUAAUUGUGGUAUAUAUCACAUUCUUUCCUUCCUUUGCUCUCUUUUGCCACCAACCACUUUUCUUUCUUCUCUUGAAUCAUAUGGAUGUGCUUGGUUCAGCAUAGCUGUAAGGUUAACCAUGGAAUUGGAAGUUUUGGAUGCAAACUAUCCUUCAUAGCCUAAACCAAUACUUUAGAAGCUCUUAAGAAACCGAUUAGUUUAUAGCCAGAUGGUUCGCUUCAUUUUCGAUAUCGCGACGUCAGAAUAAUCGACCGCUAUCACAGAGGAGGAUCUUGGACAUCUUCUUCAUUUUCUCUUGGCUUCUGGAUAUGGAUCAUCAGCUAUACAUUCUUAUGUAGAAGCCAUUUUUAUUAGCUUCAUUUUUGCUCCAAGCUUUUAGUUGAGGAAGAGAUAAGCCACCAUCUCAAAGUUAAAGGUAUGAGUGAGAUUGGUUCUGAAAGAUCAAAGUCAUGGAACAUAUACACAACUCCAGACCAGAGCCCAUCAUCUCAAACAGGCAUUGGUCAAGACGCUCCUUGGAAGAACUUUGGAUCCUCCAUGAAUGCCAUUUCCUUUGGCUUUGUUGCUACUGCAAUCUUGAUAUCCAUGUUCCUUAUCAUGGCCAUCUUUGAGCAUCUUUUUAGACCAACUUCUUCUUUCUCCUCCUCUGGUGAAGUGACCAACAACUUUGCACAAUCGGGUCCGGUCGAGAAAUUCGCUAGUCCAAAUACGGUGCCAACAUCAUAUGCAGCUGAUUUCUCGGUGUUGAUGCCAGGUCAGCACAUCCCCACCUUCAUUGCCCAGCCAGCCCCUCUGCCAUGCCAAAGAGAGGGGACUUAUUGGCCAUCUCACGACCAUAAUUUUUUAGGCCCUUGAAACAAAGAUGAUAUUUCUUGCCUCCAUUGGAAGCAGCUGCUGCAUUUAGGAAAACUGCCAGCUUUGCUUCUUCUCAGAAUAAUAAUUCUUGUGCUCCUUCACCCACUGGGAGAUUUGAUCAAAUGCUUGUGUUCUUUUUCAGUUUCUGAUCUGUAAAUUGAUUAUAAAAGAAGGGCACAAGUUCUUCCACGAUUUCAAGGUGUAAGUAGAUAUCACUUCACUUCCUCUACAGUGAGAAGGUGCUUUAAAAUUCAACAUUUUGAAAGGAAAGUGUUUCUGUA